ensembl:lncRNA
AGAAACUAUUUGGGGCUAAAAAUAACAACAUACAUGGGCAGUUAGGGCAAAUUCUGAACAAAAGAUACAAAAAGACCAAAAAGCCCAACUGCCAGUUCUGAAGAGCCUGGAGCAAAAGCAGGGUCAAGUGUCUGCCUUCUGCACACAAUCCCACCUGGAUUACCGAGGCUGUCCCUCAGGGACCCUCACCCCAGCCCCUAAGUCUUAAAUAGGACAGGCUUUGGUAUCAGAUGGGCUGGGACACCUACAUGAGAAUCCAUCUGUUGGAGAGUGGUGGGCAAAGCAUGCCAGUUUGUUGGGAGAGGAAUCUGCUUCACUGGAGUCUAGUGAUGGACCUUACUCAGAAGGUCAGCCUGCUGCUGCUGCUGCUGCUGCUGCUGCUCAGUCGCUUCAGUUGUGUCUGACUCUGUAUGACCCCAUAGAUGGCAGCCCACCAGGCUCCCCCGUCCCUGGGAUUCUCCAGGCAAGAACACUGGAGUGGGCUGCCAUUUCCUUCUCCAAUGCAUGAAAGUGAAAAGUGAAAGUGAAAGUGAAGUCGCUCAGUCGUGUCCGACUCUUUGCGACCCCAUGGACUGUCCUACCAGGCUCCUCCGUCCAUGGGAUUUUCCAGGCAAGAGUACUGGAGUGGGGUGCCAUCGCCUUCUCCGACAGCACAUUCCUCAACUCCCCAGCUUAUUUUGAAGCAAAUCCAAG